AGAGUUUGAUCCUGGCUCAGGAUGAACGCUAGCGACAGGCCUAACACAUGCAAGUCGAGGGGUAACGAUGGUAGCUUGCUGCCAGGCGACGACCGGCGCACGGGUGAGUAACGCGUAUGCAACCUUCCUUUAACAGGAGAAUAGCCCCCGGAAACGGGGAUUAAUGCUCCAUGGCACUCAAAUUUCGCAUGGGAUAAGAGUUAAAGUUCCGACGGUUAAAGAUGGGCAUGCGUGACAUUAGCCAGUUGGCGGGGUAACGGCCCACCAAAGCAACGAUGUCUAGGGGUUCUGAGAGGAAGGUCCCCCACACUGGUACUGAGACACGGACCAGACUCCUACGGGAGGCAGCAGUGAGGAAUAUUGGUCAAUGGACGCAAGUCUGAACCAGCCAUGUCGCGUGCAGGAUGACUGCCCUAUGGGUUGUAAACUGCUUUUGUAUGGGAAGAAAAAUAGCUACGUGUAGUUAUUUGCCGGUACCGUACGAAUAAGCAUCGGCUAACUCCGUGCCAGCAGCCGCGGUAAUACGGAGGAUGCGAGCGUUAUCCGGAUUUAUUGGGUUUAAAGGGUGCGUAGGCGGAAUGGUAAGUCAGUGGUGAAAUCCUGCAGCUCAACUGUAGUUGUGCCCAUUGAUACUGUCAUUCUUGAGUACAGAUGAGGUAGGCGGAAUGAGUAGUGUAGCGGUGAAAUGCAUAGAUAUUACUCAGAACACCAAUUGCGAAGGCAGCUUACUAAACUGACACUGACGCUGAAGCACGAAAGCGUGGGUAUCAAACAGGAUUAGAUACCCUGGUAGUCCACGCCGUAAACGAUGAUUACUGGUUGUNUGCGAUACACAGCAAGCGACUGAGCGAAAGCAUUAAGUAAUCCACCUGGGGAGUACGUCGGCAACGAUGAAACUCAAAGGAAUUGACGGGGGCCCGCACAAGCGGUGGAACAUGUGGUUUAAUUCGAUGAUACGCGAGGAACCUUACCUGGGUUUAAAUGGGAAGUGACAGGGGUAGAAAUACCUUUUUCUUCGGACACUUUUCAAGGUGCUGCAUGGUUGUCGUCAGCUCGUGCCGUGAGGUGUCGGGUUAAGUCCCAUAACGAGCGCAACCCCUGUUGUUAGUUACCAGCAUGUAAAGAUGGGGACUCUAACAAGACUGCCGGUGUAAACCGCGAGGAAGGUGGGGAUGACGUCAAAUCAGCACGGCCCUUACAUCCAGGGCUACACACGUGUUACAAUGGCAGGUACAAAGGGCAGCUACACAGCGAUGUGAUGCUAAUCUCGAAAACCUGUCCCAGUUCGGAUUGAAGUCUGCAACCCGACUUCAUGAAGCUGGAAUCGCUAGUAAUCGCGCAUCAGCCAUGGCGCGGUGAAUACGUUCCCGGGCCUUGUACACACCGCCCGU
rnacentral:rRNA from 1 species